CACGUAGGCACCAAGCGUUGUCCGGAUUUAUUGGGCGUAAAGAGCUCGUAGGCGGUUCAGUAAGUCGGGUGUGAAAACUCUGGGCUCAACCCAGAGACGCCACCCGAUACUGCUGUGACUUGAGUACGGUAGGGGAGUGGGGAAUUCCUGGUGUAGCGGUGAAAUGCGCAGAUAUCAGGAGGAACACCAGCGGCGAAGGCGCUGCUCUGGGCCGGUACUGACGCUGAGGAGCGAAAGCGUGGGGAGCGAACAGG
rnacentral:rRNA from 1 species